GUGGGAGGGGGCUUGCCCCCGAUGGCGGUGGGUCAGUCAGCCCAUGCAGAGCCUGACACUCAGCUAUCGGGGGCAAGUCCCCUCCCAC
rnacentral:misc_RNA from 1 species